rnacentral:tRNA from 1 species
AGAGUGUCACAGGCGAAAAGCUAGAACUUCAUAUAGACCGCGAAACUCACUUCGUCGAUCUAUCGAGAUAUAA